GUUCAUAGCCUUUCCAACUCGAGUUAUUAAUACGAGAAAUGAAUAAUUAAUUUUUAAGAAAAAUAAUGAUUUUUUUUUCCGAUAAAUAAAUUGUAUUAAAAAUAAAUAAAUAAAUAAAUAAAUAAAACAAGGCCUAAGCCAACACAGCCCAAAAGGACAAAACAACCAAAAGAAAAAAACAAGCCCAAUCCACUAGCCUAAGUAACUGUUGCUGCAACUGCAAAUAAGCAGAGGACGCAACAAAAAUCAGAAGGCGACAGGAUAGACACAACCCAACGAAUCAAUCAUCAAUGGCAGCUCCGUUAAUGACAGUGCUCGGAAGGAACCAAGCUUCGGCGACUGACCUCGCAGAACCACAGUCAUUGAAAUUGACAGAGUUCUGCUUGUUCCUAAUGCAUUCCUCAAUUUGCUUAAUCAAAAUACCAGAGCUCACAUUCUUCCCAGAAAAGGCCAUCUGCACCAGCCUCUCUGGAUUUUGGCUUUCUAAAAACGCCACAUCAGUUUUUUCAAGAGUUACAUCAGCAAUUCCAAGAGCCACGUCAGCAGUUUUCACUCUCCAGAAACAUGCACUCCAUCAGGCUCUCUGAAUUUUCGCUCUCCAAAAAUAAUAAUAAUAAAAUAUUAAAAUUAUUAUUAUUUUUUUUUAACUUUUGCUAAACGGUUAUAUUUGUAACGGCUAUAUUUUUAACGGCUAUAUUUUUCAUCUUAUAUAAGAAACUCAUUUGCUCAUCUGAAAAUUAUCACUAUAUUAAUCUCUCUCCAUAGUUUAAUUUAUGUUGCAUUUUGUUUGUUUUUAAGAUGUUAUGACAUUUCGUGUACUAAAAUUUUUAUUAUGUAAUGGUUUUUUAAGAUUAAAAAUAAUGAAUUGGAAUAAGAAAAUAAGUAUUACAAAAU